ensembl:lncRNA
GUGUAUUCACUGAUAGACAGCACCAUAUGUUGUCUCGAGAGAGAGAGAGAGAGAGAGAGAAACAGCAGGGGGCAAAUGGCUCAGUGCUGGCAGAUGUCACACGGCCUCCAGAACAAUACAAUUACCAGCACAAAGGGAUUGGCUGUUACUAUAUGUAUGUGUGUGUGUGUGUGUGUGUGUGUGUGUGUGUGUGUGUGUGUGUGCGCGCGCGCACGCACGCACACAUGCAUUUCUGGAUCAUAACUGGUGUUUCAGCUGCUUUUUCUGAGUCUCCCUGACCCCUGCCCAGUAUGUUGUAAUGGUGAUGCUCAGUUGACCUGUGAAGGUCAUGUGACCUGAGGAUUCAGGGGGUUAUUUUGCUGGCAUGGUUUAUGACUACUUGUCCUCUUAGAGGGAAGAGUUACUACAAAUCAAUACAUUCUGACUAAUCACCUUUAUGCUUUGAUGAAAAAUGGGCAUGAGUACACAGUGAACGGUUUAAAGAGGAGGAAAAUGAUGAAAAUCAGAUGGCAUGACCUUCACAAUCACUGGACCUCAGACCAGUUUUACACCUAUGGGAGAUUUAGAAUGUUGUGUUAGACCGAGCUUUUAGAACACAAAGUGAGGGAAUAUUCUUUGGAAGAAUACAACAGCUCUAGAGACUUGCAGAGUUGUUCUGGUGGCACGUUAUGGUCCAACAUCUUAUGACAACACUCUAUGUUGGUUUUUCCUUCAAUUGGUCGCCCGUUUAAAUUUGUCUUAGGUACACAGCGGGUAGUGUUGUCACCUUGCACCUCCAUGGUACCUGGUAUAUGCCUGCACUUGGGUUAAUAUAUGUGUGGAGUUUUGCAUGUUCUUCCCAUGCCCUUUUGGGUUUCAUCUGGGUUAGGUUGACCUCUUACUAGGAUAAAAUGUUUAAAGAAAAACGCAUGAAUGAAUCCAAGCUAAUGUCUGAACUAAUGUACAAGAGUACACUGUUAAAAAUAUCUUGUUAAGAAAAAAAAAAAAAAAAAAAGUCAAUAGACUGGCAGCAGCAGGUAGUACAAAACUGUUAAAUUACAGUAAUUUACCAGAUGGUAAAUUGACAUUACAGUAAUUAACCUUUCAGGAAAUUGGACAACUCCUAUUAUGUUACAGUAAUUUACAUUUUAAUAAUGAAUUGUCAUUAUAUUAAUUCUUACUGUAAUAUAACAACACAAAUUCCAUUUCAGUAAUUACAUAUUUAGAAAAAAAACAACUGUUAUUGUACAGAAAUAUGUGUAUUUUAAAAGUUCGACAAAACGAAUCAUGAAAAUAAUUAUAUACGAGUAUAUAUAUUUUAUAGAGCUUCACUAUGUAAUCAAAUGGGUUCGCCAUAAAUAAACAGUAUUCCUUUAAAGACACUAGCAUGAGGUGCUUUGACCUCUAAAAAAUCACCAGC